rnacentral:rRNA from 1 species
GACGAACGCUGGCGGCGUGCUUAACACAUGCAAGUCGAACGGAAAGGCCCUGCUUUUGUGGGGUGCUCGAGUGGCGAACGGGUGAGUAACACGUGAGUAACCUGCCCUUGACUUUGGGAUAACUUCAGGAAACUGGGGCUAAUACCGGAUAGGAGCUCCUGCUGCAUGGUGGGGGUUGGAAAGUUUCGGCGGUUGGGGAUGGACUCGCGGCUUAUCAGCUUGUUGGUGGGGUAGUGGCUUACCAAGGCUUUGACGGGUAGCCGGCCUGAGAGGGUGGACGGCCACAUUGGGACUGAGAUACGGCCCAGACUCCUACGGGAGGCAGCAGUGGGGAAUAUUGCACAAUGGGGUGAAGCCUGAUGCAGAAACGCCGCGUGCGGGAUGACGGCCUUCGGGUUGUAAACCGCUUUCGCCUGUGACGAAGCGUGAGUGACGGUAAUGGGUAAAGAAGCACCGGCUAACUACGUG